UACAGAGGUGGCAAGCGUUGUUCGGAAUUACUGGGCGUAAAGGGCGCGUAGGCGCCUUGUCAGUCAGACGUGAAAUCCCCGGGCUUAACUCGGGAACUGCGUCUGAUACUACAAGGCUGGAGUUCGGGAGAGGGAUAUGGAAUUCCAGGUGUAGCGGUGAAAUGCGUAGAUAUCUGGAGGAACACCGGUGGCGAAGGCGGCAUCCUGGACCGAAACUGACGCUGAUGCGCGAAAGCCAGGGGAGCAAACGGG
rnacentral:rRNA from 1 species